rnacentral:rRNA from 1 species
GACGAACGCUGGCAGCGUGCUUAACACAUGCAAGUCGAGCGGAAAGGCCCUUCGGGGUACUCGAGCGGCGAACGGGUGAGUAACACGUGAGUAACCUGCCCCAGACUUUGGGAUAACCCUCGGAAACGGGGGCUAAUACCGGAUACGACACAGCUUCGCAUGGGGUCUGUGUGGAAAGUUUUUCGGUUUGCGAUGGGCUCGCGGCCUAUCAGCUUGUUGGUGGGGUGAUGGCCUACCAAGGCGACGACGGGUAGCCGGCCUGAGAGGGCGACCGGCCACACUGGGACUGAGACACGGCCCAGACUCCUACGGGAGGCAGCAGUGGGGAAUAUUGCACAAUGGGCGGAAGCCUGAUGCAGCGACGCCGCGUGAGGGAUGACGGCCUUCGGGUUGUAAACCUCUUUCAGCAGGGACGAAGCGUAAGUGACGGUACCUGCAGAAGAAGCGCCGGCCAACUACGU